GUCUAUGGCCAUACUGCCCUGAAGAAGCCUGAUCCUGUCUGAUUUCAGGAGCUAAGCAGGGGCGGGUCUGGUUAGUAGAAGCUAAGCAGAGUCAGGAUGGGUUAGUAUUUGGACUGGAGACUUGCAGUCAGGGACC
rnacentral:rRNA from 1 species